rnacentral:rRNA from 1 species
GGGGGACCAUCCUCCAAGGCUAAAUACUCCUGACUGACCGAUAGUGAACCAGUACCGUGAGGGAAAGGCGAAAAGAACCCCGGCGAGGGGAGUGAAAAAGAACCUGAAACCGUGUACGUACAAGCAGUGGGAGCACCUUCGGGUGUGACUGCGUACCUUUUGUAUAAUGGGUCAGCGACUUAUAUUCUGUAGCAAGGUUAACCGUAUAGGGGAGCCGCAGGGAAACCGAGUCUUAACUGGGCGUUAAGUUGCAGGGUAUAGACCCGAAACCCGGUGAUCUAGCCAUGGGCAGGUUGAAGGUUGGGUAACACUAACUGGAGGACCGAACCGACUAAUGUUGAAAAAUUAGCGGAUGACUUGUGGCUGGGGGUGAAAGGCCAAUCAAACCGGGAGAUAGCUGGUUCUCCCCGAAAGCUAUUUAGGUAGCGCCUCGUGAACUCAUCUUCGGGGGUAGAGCACUGUUUCGGCUAGGGGGUCAUCCCGACUUACCAACCCGAUGCAAACUACGAAUACCGAAGAAUGUUAUCACGGGAGACACACGGCGGGUGCUAACGUCCGUCGUGAAGAGGGAAACAACCCAGACCGCCAGCUAAGGUCCCAAAGUCAUGGUUAAGUGGGAAACGAUGUGGGAAGGCACAGACAGCCAGGAUGUUGGCUUAGAAGCAGCCAUCAUUUAAAGAAAGCGUAAUAGCUCACUGGUCGAGUCGGCCUGCGCGGAAGAUGUAACGGGGCUAAACCAUGCACCGAAGCUGCGGCAGCGACACUAUGUGUUGUUGGGUAGGGGAGCGUUCUGUAAGCCUGCGAAGGUGUGCUGUGAGGCAUGCUGGAGGUAUCAGAAGUGCGAAUGCUGACAUAAGUAACGAUAAAGCGGGUGAAAAGCCCGCUCGCCGGAAGACCAAGGGUUCCUGUCCAACGUUAAUCGGGGCAGGGUGAGUCGACCCCUAAGGCGAGGCCGAAAGGCGUAGUCGAUGGGAAACAGGUUAAUAUUCCUGUACUUGGUGUUACUGCGAAGGGGGGACGGAGAAGGCUAUGUUAGCCGGGCGACGGUUGUCCCG